rnacentral:rRNA from 1 species
GGACUACCGGGGUAUCUAAUCCUGUUUGCUCCCCACGCUUUCGCGCCUCAGCGUCAGAUACGGUCCAGAUGGCCGCCUUCGCCACCGGUGUUCUUCCCAAUAUCUACGAAUUUCACCUCUACACUGGGAAUUCCACCAUCCUCUCCCGUCCUCAAGCCCCUCAGUCUCGAGUGCUAUUCCGCGGUUGAGCCGCGGGCUUUCACACCCGACUUGAAGGGCCGCCUACGCGCCCUUUACGCCCAGUAACUCCGAACAACGCUAGCCCCCUUCGUAUUACCGCGGCUGCUGGCAC